rnacentral:rRNA from 1 species
GCAAAAGAAGUAGGUAGCUUAACCUUCGGGGGGGCGCUUACCACUUUGUGAUUCAUGACUGGGGUGAAGUCGUAACAAGGUAACCGUAGGGGAACCUGCGGUUGGAUCACCUCCUUACCUUAAAGAAGC